rnacentral:misc_RNA from 1 species
UCCGGUUUGUCACCGGCAGUCUCCUUAGAGUUCCCGCCAUUACGCGCUGGCAACUAAGGACAAGGGUUGCGCUCGUUGCGGGACUUAACCCAACAUCUCACGACACGAGCUGACGACAGCCAUGCAGCACCUGUCUCCAGGUUCCCGAAGGCACCCCCACAUCUCUGCAGGGUUCCUGGGAUGUCAAGCCCAGGUAAGGUUCUUCGCGUUGCGUCGAAUUGAACCACAUGUUCCACCGCUUGUGCGGGCCCCCGUCAAUUCCUUUGAGUUUCAGCCUUGCGGCCGUACUCCCCAGGCGGGGCACUUAAUGCGUUAGCGCCGGCCCUCAGGGGGUCGCUCCCCCAAGGACCUAGUGCCCAUCGUUUACGGCGUGGACUAC